UUGAUUUGAGUCCCAGUUUCCUUCCCAUUGUUGUUGGUUCCCUGUAUAUUUUUCUUUAUUUCACAUAAUGCAACCUUCAUUGCUGCCUGGGUCUUUUUUAUGCUGUUGAAGUCCCCGUUGAGUUCCUAGAGCAUUCUGAUAACUAGUGUUUAGAACUGUGCAUCUUAUAGGUUGGCUACCUUUUUCAUCACUUAGCUAUAUAUUUC